CCUACGGGCGACAGCAGUGAGGAAUAUUGGUCAAUGGCCGAGAGGCUGAACCAGCCAAGUCGCGUGAGGGAAGACGGCCCUACGGGUUGUAAACCUCUUUUGUCGGGGAGCAAAGAGAGUCACGUGUGAUUCAUUGAGAGUACCCGAAGAAAAAGCAUCGGCUAACUCCGUGCCAGCAGCCGCGGUAAUACGGAGGAUGCGAGCGUUAUCCGGAUUUAUUGGGUUUAAAGGGUGCGCAGGCGGAGGUGCAAGUCAGCGGUAAAAUUGCGGGGCUCAACCCCGUACUGCCGUUGAAACUGCAUCCCUUGAGUGCGCGAGAGGUAUGCGGAAUGCGUGGUGUAGCGGUGAAAUGCAUAGAUAUCACGCAGAACUCCGAUUGCGAAGGCAGCAUACCGGCGCGCAACUGACGCUCAUGCACGAAAGCGUGGGUAUCGAACAGGAUUAGAUACCCCAGUAGUC
rnacentral:rRNA from 1 species